GUGGAUUUUAUCCCUGGUGGGUAGCUUCCCGGAGCAAAAGUCUUCCGGUUCCGGGGGAAGUAUGGUUGCAAAGCUGAAACUUAAAGGAAUUGACGGAAGGGCACCACCAGGAGUGGAGCCUGCGGCUUAAUUUGACUCAACACGGGGAAACUCACCCGGCCCGGACACCGUAAGGAUUGACAGAUUGAUAGCUCUUUCAUGAUUCGGUGGUUGGUGGUGCAUGGCCGUUCUUAGUUCGUGGAUCGAUUUGUCUGGUUUAUUCCGAUAACGAGCGAGACUCUAGCCUACUAAAUAGUAACGAGAUUAUCAAUGUCUCAGUUGCUUCUUAGAGGGAUUUUCGGUGUUUAGCCGCACGAGAUUGAGCAAUAACAGGUCUGUGAUGCCCUUAGAUGUCCGGGGCUGCACGCGCGCUACACUGGCGAAAUCAGCGUGCUGUAUCCAUUCUCGAAAGGGAUUGGUAAACCCAUGAAAAUUUGCCGUGCUUGGGAUCGGAAAUUGCAAUUAUUUUCCGUGAACGAGGAAUUCCAAGUAAGUGCGAGUCAUCAACUCGCUCUGAUUACGUCCCUGCCCUUUGUAA
rnacentral:rRNA from 1 species